UGGGGAAUAUUGGACAAUGGGCGCAAGCCUGAUCCAGCCAUGCCGCGUGAGUGAUGAAGGCCUUAGGGUUGUAAAGCUCUUUCGCCGGUGAAGAUAAUGACGGUAACCGGAGAAGAAGCCCCGGCUAACUUCGUGCCAGCAGCCGCGGUAAUACGAAGGGGGCUAGCGUUGCUCGGAAUCACUGGGCGUAAAGCGCACGUAGGCGGAUCGUUAAGUCAGGGGUGAAAUCCUGGAGCUCAACUCCAGAACUGCCCUUGAUACUGGCGAUCUCGAGUUCGAGAGAGGUUGGUGGAACUCCGAGUGUAGAGGUGAAAUUCGUAGAUAUUCGGAAGAACACCAGUGGCGAAGGCGGCCAACUGGCUCGAUACUGACGCUGAGGUGCGAAAGCGUGGGGAGCAAAACAGGAUUAGAUACCCUGGUAGUCCACGCCGUAAACGAUGGAUGCUAGCCGUUGGGGGGUUUACCUCUCAGUGGCGCAGCUAACGCCUUAAGCAUCCCGCCUGGGGAGUACGGUCGCAAGAUUAAAACUUAAAUGAAUUGACGGGGUCAUAGCUGUUUUCCU
rnacentral:rRNA from 1 species